CGAAGCUGAUCAUCAUGCCGCGUGUGUGAAGAAUGCCUGCGGGUUGUAAGCACUUUCAGUUGGGAGGAAGCAUUUAGGUUAAGAGCUAAAGAUGUUGACGUUNNACCUACAGAAGAAAGCACCUGUGGGCCUAAAGGACCUACCUUUGAAUUUGGGCCCACCCAAAGGCCCAACAGACCUGCCCGCGUGAAAUUAACCAUGAGCGGUGCGAGCGUUNAAUCUCGGAAUUAACNUUUGGUGGUGGUCCCCUGGAUUUAAAAAACAACUCGCACGGGUGGGGNCCUUUUUGGGGGGGCCCCCCAUGGG
rnacentral:rRNA from 1 species